ACCACUUGAGACGGAGAGGACAGAGUUGUGACAAUGUGUGGAAAGGCGGCAAACAAUAGAUAAUCAAGGGGGAGUGACAGCACGAGAGAGACAAAACAACACAGCUUUUAUGGAGAAAGCAAAGCAGCUGAUUAAGUCAAGCGGAAGAAACACAUUCAAAAUCACAGAAAAAACAAACUUCAAUGAGCUGUGAUGCUUUUUUUCAGCAUUUGAAUUAGCUUUAAUUGCCGAUGCUGAACUUUUCCAACAAGGAUUGAUUAUAAGUGCAGGCUGUAAUAAUGGAAAAGAAGAAAAAACACUGACACCCAUUUCCUCAUUUCCUUCAUUGUAUUCAGCCGGUUGGCAGACGGAUAAUUUUCCUCGCUGCAUGUACUUGUACUGGGCUGCUCAGUCUCCUGACAUAUUGUGAGUGGGUGAGUGUGUUCGUGUUAUUUUCACACCCUCCCCAGCAAAGGAUGUCCAAAAUCUAUGCUGUCUCGCCGUCCGCUGACAUGACUAUUUUUGGGACUUUGCGGGCAUUUUUGAUUCAGGUGGUGCGAUAUACAGCAGAGUGUAGUGGAUCUGUUUUUAUUAUGAGAGGUCAAAAUGUUUCCACUGUACAGAUGCGCUGUGUAGGUCAGACACUCCUUGUGUGUGAGUGUGGGUGGGUGGGUGUGGAAGUGUUAUGAGGUCUAUUGUUGUUUCUUUGUGCACCACAAGGCACCAUCUGCCAGGGAAACUGCCUAAUCAUAUACCCUCCUGCCCCCCUUUUUUCUUCUCCUCAGCCAGCUCCACCUCAGGCCCCUCUGACCACAUGCCAGUGUGUACAGUGUGCACUGUGUGUCUUUGUGGGGCCUAAAUAAGCUUUAGAUGUAACAGUAAGGACUUAAAACUCCACAGUAUCUCUGCAUGUUCUCUCACUGUCGACACGGUCAGGCAGGCAACAAAAAAAAAAAAAAAAAACAAGUCAAACACGUGUGCGCUAAUUCAUUCAUGCCCGUGACCUGCAUGCUAUUCAAUAAGCUGACAGAUGAUUUUCCUCCCUGCUCCACUUGGGUGCCCUGCUUACCCAUUGUGCCCCAGUUUAUUACCCUCACCCUGCCCUUCCCCCAGUACACCUGCUUCCUCUUUACUUUUCUCCUCCACACCAGUACUCCACCCUUUUCCCUGUCUCCUGUCACUACAAUGCUCGUUGUUAUAAAAGGGACACUUCCAGCGCUAAUGUCGAAACUCAGUUCGAGGCUACGUGCGGUAUAUGUUAAUUUAAAUAAUACAAAUAAUGACCAGGCGGCUCUUAUCACCAACCAGCAGCAACUGCGGCAACACAGCCUCAGCCUCAGCCUCAGCCACAGCCUCCCCCUCAUUCCAUUAACAGUUCACACAAUUAAUGCAACAUGCAAGUACAUGCAAAAUACACGAUGUUCUGUUCUUAGUUUUCUUGCUUUUUCCCCCAGUAAUAUUAUUUGGAUUGUCAUUUUCUUUCCUUUUUUUUUGUUUUGCAUUUGUCCUAUUUCUGACAAAUUAAAAUUGCUAUUGUUUUUAAUAUAAUAUUCAUUUCUUACUGCAUAAAAAAGGGAUACCGCUGUUCAAAGCUACAGGUGUUUAACUGAAAUCCUAAUAGAUUAAUCUAAAGCUAUCUACAUCAGAAUCCACUUAUAGAAUUCACUCUGUGCUUGUUUAAGUGUAGGGGUUGGCCAAAUUUUUUAUUUUUUUUUUAGUAUUUAUUUAGGGCCGACACCGAUUGUGAGUAAUCAAGGAGAACGAUGACCGAUAAUGGAACCAGUUUAUAGUAAGAAUGACAGAUCAUUGUGCCAAAAUUUAGAAUGCCACAAAUAUCAAAACCAAAUUUCAUUGAACUCCCGAAUUCGUUUUUGAUGAAUCAAAAGAACCUGUUCAACAUGUAUCCUUCAGCGUUGAUAGGUUAUUACUCACGACAUGUAUCCAAUCAGAUUGUACUGGGCGGGACACUGCUCGAGACACCAAAUCACAGCCAAAGUAGCUUAUAUUUAAAUUGACUUAUUUUAUGCAGAAUAAUAAUAAUUAUUAUUAUUUUAAAUGAUAAUGGCAUUAAACAUUUAGAAUUUUGGAUCUGCUAACUGAUCUAUGAAUAUCCAUAUACUGCAUAUCAGUUUUAAAUCCACACCACAUGAUAAAGAAUAAGGUUUUUUAAGCAUUUUAUUUUUACUUUUUUUCCAAACACUUUGUCUUAAAUUGAACAGAAUCCUUCCCCUCCCUUGUUUACAGUUUUUAGUCCACCGGCGCUUCCUCUGUGUAGCUUUGCCGUUCAAGAUCUACUUCCCUACAUGCGACUGCACAUUUUUCAAAAUAGCAGUAAAAAGCUCCCUCUAUCUCGUUGCCCACACCCUCUGACUGGAAGCCAUGGCAGCCUGCUGUUUAAUCCCAUUAUUUGAGGCCAUGUGUGACUUCUUCUAAGACAUAGCUGCGCACAUCAUACAGCUGCAAAGAUCAAAUGUACCAACCUGCAUGUAGGAACGAAUAUCAUGUGUGUGUUUCGGUUCUCUUGUAGUUAAUAUAUGAGUGAGUGAGUGAGUGAGUGAGAGACGAUGCCCCGGUAUGUUUCUGUCUCCAUCCUGGUGUGUUUGAGUGCAUGAGUUGUGUGUCACGGUGUUUGUGUGUGCUGCAUUUACAUAUUGUGUUUGGGUGUGUGUGCGAUCUCGCCAUCUGUGUUGUGGUUGCUUUCAGAACAGAUUAUUGCUGCUUCCGUCAGUAAGACAUUCUGGUGAAAACACCAGUGUUGGUACAUUCAGACUCACAAACAAACUCGCACAUUCAUAUACACACACAUACAGUACGCACUGUUCCCUGUCCUUGGAACGGUUAUGAUUUCUAAAGCAAUGACACUGUUUAUUUAAUAAACUCAGGAUUUGUCAAAGAAGCUUGUUGGGGUCUCGGUGAGAUCAAUACUGGAACAAGUUUUGCAACAGACAGCUGCAAAACAGAGCCGGUAGAUUAUCUGUAGCUUGAGAGUGGUUCCUACUGUGAGCACCGCCUUUGUUGAAUCAGCUGUCUCUGGGAAUAUUCAUCAAGGAUUUACAAGUUCCUAACUGGAGCAGAAGCUUCAUUUAAAUGUCGGUUUAUUUUAGUAAACUAACUGACUGAAUUUGCAUCCAGGUUCAUGCAGAAUCUUUAUUCAUAGGAAUGAAAUCAGCCACCUGUUUUCUGACAUGUCACGUGGACCUUGUCUCCAUGAGCUCAUGUUUCUCUGUCUAACUUUCAACCUCAGACGUUUUUAUUCCUCUGGGCCACAGAAUUUUAACAGCUUCUUCCUACCCUGCCACUCCCAUUGCCACCAUUGUAAGAUAGCAGCAGAGGAAACAUCCGAUCUGUGUGUACAAUAUUUUUCCCAGUGCCUCAAGGUGUUACCAACACUGAAAAAAACUCUACAUACUAUAGAUGUUUUACUUACAUAUUUAAAUUGUUUCAAUACUGUUCUCCAAUCAGUUUUCUGUAAACAGAAGCCUGCAGUGUCACUUUUGAUUGUAGCUCAGUCACAAUUUGUUUCAGAGCUCAAAAUUUUUUUUUUUUUUUUUAGAGAAUUAGAUUAGAUUAAUGGUUUAUUGUUGACAUUUUUAAAAAAUGAGACAUGUUGCAUAAAAUGAUUUUGACUAAAUAUCAUGAUUUCAAUUUUGGAUUCUCACAACUGAAAGUCUCACAUGAUGAGUUCAAUGACCGGCUGAAAGCGGAACACCCGAUGAUUAUUUCUGUGUUUACAAUAUCUGGCUCAGACAAACGAUGUAAUUUUGGCGAUUUUUUACAAAGAUAAUUUUCCUUUCAAGCUUUGCAGGAUUCAGAGAGUUCAUUUGCAUUCUCUUCUGCCAAAUUUCUCAGAAUUUGAAUAAAACUGACACUACAUCCGGAUGAAAACCUGACUACUGUGGCUGCUUUCAUGUCCCUCCUGUGUGUGUCUGUAUAUGAGUCUGUAGUUGCCUGUCUAUGUUCUUCUCCCUACUCUUGUUUCUGUGGAUGUGCUCAUGAUCUGCUACCUGUGUAGAGACAUGCUGUCUGAUUCUAACCUCCCUACUCAUCUUUUCUCCCUGCAGGAUCUUCUCGUUCAGGCUGCCUUUGAAUCAGUGAGCGAACCUGUUUGUGACAAGAAAAUCUAUUUAACCUGCUCUGCCUCAUGCUUCUCCAUUUGGGAUUUGUCAGCCCUGGUGCCCAUGCAUUAACUGUGACAACCACAGAUUUUUAUUGGACCGUAGAAGAAAAUCUCAAUACACAAACAUCUAAAUGUUUUACUGUCCACAUUUUUUCCACAGGAGAAAAAGAGCAAAGAGCUGAGUAAAAGCCCUGUUCUUAAAGUGGUGCUUCAUUACCUCCAUCUUUAAAAACAACUGAGCUGCUGCUGCCCACGCCCCCUUCAGGAAGAAGAUUCGCUUUGUAUAUGUGACUGACAGCACGGAGCAACACAGUUGACCACACAGCAGCCAACUGAGAUGUAAAUGAGCGUAUGAGUAAGUAAAUAAACCUGGUGGACUGUGAAGCCGACUGUGAAUGGCUCACCAAGGAAGCAGCCGGCAGUGAAUGGGCAGGAUUAUGCACAUUUUUAGCCCAGCAACUAUUGGCUCCUCAGUGUCUACUUAGAAACUGAAUAAAAAUAUUACUAGACUGUGAAGCUGGAAAGCCAUCAAGUUGUGGGAGGACUAGAGGGGUGGCAGGAGUAGGUUUCUUGAUAUUUUUACAGCUUUUAUUUAGUCCUGUAAGUUUGUAACAUACAAAACAAUAAAAAUGGAUUUUCA